AUGUAGUGAAUAUUCUUUGUUUUUUUUUAAUUGUAAUAAGAACAUUUAACAUGAGAUCGUCCCUCUUAACAAAAUUGUAAGUGUACAAUACAGUACUGUUAAAUAUAGGCACAAUGUUGUACAGCAGAUCUCUAGAACUUAUUCAUCUUUCAUAACUGAAACUUUCUACCUGUUGAACAAAAUUCCCCUUUCUUUUGUCCCAACAGCCUCUGGCAAUCACCAUUGUACUCUCAGCUCCUGUGAGUUUGAAUAUUUUAGAAAACCUCAUAUAAAUGUGAUCAUGCAUUAUUUGUCCUUCUGUGACUGGCUUAUUUCACUUAGCAUAAAAUCCUCCAGGUUCAUCCAUAUUGUCACAUAUGGCAGGAUUUUCUUCUUCUUUUUUCUUUUUUCAAGGCCGAACAGUAUUCCAUUGUAUAUAUAUGCCACGUUUUCUUUAUUCAUCCAUUGAGGGACAUUUAGGUUGUUUCCAUAUCUCGGCUAUUGUGAAUCAUGCACAAGGAACAUGGGAUUGUUAAUAUCUCUUUGAGAUCCUGAUGUCAAUUCUUUUGGCUAUAUACCCAGUAGUAUGAUUGUGGGAUCAUAUGGUAGUUCUAUUUUUAAUUUUUUAAAGAGCUUCCAUACAGUUUCCCAUAGCGGUCACACCAGUUUACAUUCCUGUCAACAUUGUACAAGCAUUUCAAUUAAUCUACAUCAUCACCAUUGUUAUCUUUUGAAUUUUUUAAAUAAUAGCUGUCCUAACAGAUACGAGGUGAUAUCUCAUUAGGGUGUUUAUUUGCCUUUCUCUGAUGAUUAGUGGUGUUGAGUAUCUGUUGCAAAUAGUGACGAUUUUACUUUUUCCUUUCUGAUUUGGAUGCUUUUUAUUUCUUUUUCAUGCCAAAUUUUCUGGCUAGAACUUUUAAUACUACGUUGAAUAAAAGUUGUAAGAGUGGGCAUCCUCAUCCUGUUUUCUGAUGUUAGAGAAAAAUAUUUCAGUUUUUCACAAAUUAAGAAUGAUGCUAGCUUUGGGCUUUUCAUAUAUGGCUUUUAUUGUGUUGAGAUGUUUUUCUUCUAUUCCUAGUUUGUUGAGACUUUUUGUUAUGAAAGGGUGAAGGAUUUUGUCAAAUGCCUUUUCUGCAUCUGUUGAGAUGAUCAUGUGAUUUUCAUCCUUCAGUCUGUUAAUGUGGUGUAUCACAUCCAUUGCUUUGUGAAUGUUGUACCAUCCUUGCAUCCCAGGGAUAAAUUUCACUUGGUCAUGGUGUAUGGUCCUUUUAAUAUGCUGCUGAAUUUGUUUCACUAGUGUUUUGUUGAGGAUUUUUUCAUCUAUAUUCAUCAGGGAUAUUAGCCUGUAGUUUUCUUAUCAUUUUAUCUGGCUUUGGUAUAAGGGUAAUGCUGGCCCCAUAAAAUCAGUUUAGAAGUGUUCUCUCCUCUUAGAUAUUUUGGAAGAGUUUGAGAAGGAAAACAAUAAAUAAAUGAAGCUUUCACCACUGAAUUUUCACCAUUUGAACAGCCUCAGGUGACAAGACCCUGUGGCUGGAGGCGAUUGCUUCCUUCUGGCUUCAAGGUGAAGACUUCACUGAGCUUUGUUUUCACUGGUGCCUGAGGUGUGGGAAUUAGGGAGAAUCCCAGAGUCUUUUCUAGAGUAAGACUGUUUUGAUGUCUUUGCCACUGUUUAUUUUUCUAACUGAACUUACAAAUAGGGAAGGUUAUUUUUAGUGACAGAAGCAAAAGCUCAAUAGUUCUUCUGGGAUUUAGAUGUGGGAACUCUGUUCCUCCUACUUCUCUCUCCCUAAGCUCCCUCUCUUUUCUCCCAAGGACAUUUUAUCUGCACUCAAGAUAAUGUGAUAUGGAGGAAAAAAGCACUGGACUGGGACCCAGAAGGACUGAGUCUUGUCUGGACUGACACCAACGAGCCAUGGGUUUGCUAGAGCAGAGGUGGCAGAGUGGAGUGGUAGUGAGUAGCAGGAGCGCUGCAGACAGACUAGCCACUGAGUGUCUGCUUCCACUACUUACUGGUUAUGUGUCUUAGACAAAUUACUGACCUUUGUGUUUUAUAUUGUCCUUAAGUGUAAAAUGGGAAUCAUAAAUGUACCUACUUCGUAGGACUGCUUCAAGUGUAAGAUGAGGUAAUUGACAUUAAAAGCACUUAGAACUGUAUGAAUCAUGCUCUUACCUUUCUGGUUCAUACUGUUGCUGACAAGCCAAUCAUCUAAGUGAUGUCCAAGUGCUGGAAUCUCAUCACAUGCAGAACAUUCUGUAGACCUGAGGAUCAUCUGAUGCAGAAAAAAGAAGGCAAAGUAGGCUGGUGUUCUUCAGUCGUAUAAAGGAUUGUUGCACAAAAGAGAUGUUUCUUCUGAGUUGCUUGGAAAGUUCGUUGAAGUUUAAUUCAAAAUACUGGAAAUAAUCCGUAGUGUUUCUAUACAUUAGUAAUGAAUUACCACUCUUACUGCUGUCCUGAUCCCAGCAAGGGGAAUAGUUCACUUCUUUUCCAAACAGACAUGAUGGUGUCAGUUGUGAUCAGAGCUGGUAGAGCUAUCUUUCAGAUGAGGAAAGUGAUGCCAAAAGUCUUGUAUUAUGUUAGAAACAGCAAGUUAAAAGGGUGAGAUCAAUAAAUGGUUGGAAACCUAAAAGCUAGGAUAUCCUUGGAGCAAUAAGAGUUAGUUAAUAAUGGAAAACCAGGAAAUUAACACAGAAAGCUUAGUUUAAUAAAACCACAGGUAAGCGUUGGUAGGCUAUGGAAAUAUUCACACACAGUGCAUGCAUACUGCUAUCUCUGUCAGUUUCUCUGCCUGCCAUUACCACAUUUCUUGACUUUCAGUGGCAAGAUGUACUUGUGAAUCAGGUUUCCAGCUGUGGCAAUCCUCAAUCACUAAUGUGUAGUCAUAAUAUCAAAUAUCUCUCAUCUUCUAUCCCACUAAUCUAUCUUUUCCUGCUUAUACCACUGGUUUUCAUAGUCACUUUGGGCUGCUAUUACAGAAUACUAUAGAAUGAGUGGCUUAACCAACAAACAUUGAUUUCUCAUAAUUCUGGAGACUGGGACUGUGAGAUCAGGGUGCCAGCAUGGUUAUGUUGUAGGUGAGGGCUCUCUGUGUGGUCGGACAGCUUCCUUCUUGGAUCCUCAUGUGGAAGAGAUAUCUGUGGUAUCCUUCAUCUCCUUAUAAAGACACUGAUACAAUGAUGGGGGCUCUGCCCUCAUGACCUCAUGUAAACCUAAUUACUA
rnacentral:lncRNA from 10 species